rnacentral:rRNA from 1 species
AAUUAAUUGGCGUCAAGUGAUAGUAUGUGGCUUGGCGCAUCACCCGCAAAAAACCCGAGGCUCAACCUCGGGAGUGCGGAGCCCACGGGCAUGCUACAGUGUGCUAGGUGACACUGGAACUCCUGGUGUAGCGCAGAAAUGCGCAUAUCUCAUGAAGAACACCGAUGGCGAAGGCAGGUCUCUGGACCAUUACUGACACUGACAAGCUAAAGCAUGUGGAGCCAACAGGAUUACAUACCCUGGUAUCCCAUGCCGUAAACGUUGGGCACUAGAUGUGGGGAAAAUUCCAACGUUUUCCGCGUCGUAACUAACGCAUUAAUUGCCCCGCCUGGGGACUACGGCCCCAAGGUUAAA